AGUCAAAUCAUGUUGAAACACCAGUUCUCAUACAAUCACCGAAGUUAAGCAACAUCAAGCGUGGUAAGUACCUAGAUGGGUAACUGCUUGGGAAUACCAGAUACAG